GAUGAACGCUGGCGACGUGCCUAAUACAUGCAAGUCGAGCGAAUGGAUUAAGAGCUUGCUCUUAUGAAGUUAGCGGCGGACGGGUGAGUAACACGUGGGUAACCUGCCCAUAAGACCGGGAUAACUCCGGGAAACCGGGGCUAAGACCGGAUAACAUUUUUAACCGCAUGCUUCGAGAUUGAAAGGCGGCUUCGGCUGUCCCUUAUGGAUGGACCCCCGUCGCAUUAGCUAGUUGGUGAGGUAACGGCUCACCAAGGCAACGAUGCGUGGCCGACCUGAGAGGGUGAUCGGCCACACUGGGACUGAGACACGGCCCAGACUCCUACGGGAGGCAGCAGUAGGGAAUCUUCCGCAAUGGACGAAAGUCUGACGGAGCAACGCCGCGUGAGUGAUGAAGGCUUUCGGGUCGUAAAACUCUGUUGUUAGGGAAGAACAAGUGCUAGUUGAAUAAGCUGGCACCUUGACGGUACCUAACCAGAAAGCCACGGCUAACUACGUGCCAGCCGCCGCCGUAA
rnacentral:rRNA from 1 species